GCUUACGGCCAUACCACCCUGAACACGCCCGAUCUCGUCUGAUCUCGGAAGCUAAGCAGGGUCGGGCCUGGUCAGUACUUGGAUGGGAGACCGCCUGGGAAUACCAGGUGCUGUAAGCU
ensembl:rRNA 5S_rRNA 5S ribosomal RNA